rnacentral:rRNA from 1 species
AACGAACGCUGGCGGCAUGCCUAACACAUGCAAGUCGAACGAGACCUUCGGGUCUAGUGGCGCACGGGUGCGUAACGCGUGGGAACCUGCCCUUAGGUUCAGAAUAACUCCCCGAAAGGGGUGCUAAUACCGGAUAAUGUCUUCGGACCAAAGAUUUAUCGCCUUUGGAUGGGCCCGCGUUGGAUUAGCUAGUUGGUAGGGUAAAAGCCUACCAAGGCGACGAUCCAUAGCUGGUCUGAGAGGAUGCUCAGCCACACUGGGACUGAGACACGGCCCAGACUCCUACGGGAGGCAGCAGUGGGGAAUAUUGGACGAUGGGCGAAGGCCUGAUCCAGCAAUGCCGCGUGAGUGAUGAAGGCCUUAGGGUUGUAAAGCUCUUUUACCCGGGAUGAUAAUGACAGUACCGGGAGAAUAAGCUCCGGCUAACUCCGUG